CCUGGGCUGGGGGCCAUGUCCUCCGAGGUCAUCUUCAGCGCUUUACGUGAUGGACUCGGAGUAAAGUUAGUUGGUCGCCUGUUGGGCUAAGAAACUGUGGGGAAUAAGACACCUGCCUCCAGGAGCCUUUUUCUGCCUGGUCCAUAGUUUGGGAUACCGCUACUCUAAAAACUUUAUUUGAGAUGAGGUGAGGCCACACAGUGAGGCCGCCAAGGUGGCGCUUGGAGAAGAGUGUGGCCCGCCGGCUGUGGGCAGUGGGACUCGGGGCCCUCCGCCAGAAGACAGGUGUUCAGGGCCGGAGGGGCAUCUGAGUUCUACGUACAGCUCCGUAGUCUCAUCGUGGCGGCUUUCUAACUUCUCUGGUGGAGAGUAGGGACUCACACAUUUUUGGAAGCCUCUUCUCUUGGGGGGUUGAACCCAGCUUUCAAGAAUAGUUGCAGCAACGUUUAAAUUGGAUGGAAAUAAUGAUGGAACAUGACCUACCAUCAGGCCCUAUGUGGAUCAAACACAGCCCAAGCCAGGGCUGCCCCAGGCCAAGGGCUGGAAGAACGGAAAGAGCUCAUCGGUUUGUUUGAAGGCAGACAAGCUGUACAGGCAGCUGUUCCCAGACUCUCCCAGCUCCGGCUUUUCAUGCAUACCAGCAGAGCCGCUUUUUUCCUCCAGUGAUUGAAACCAUCUGGACUGCAGGGGGGUCACGUGUGUAUGAGAAAAUGACAUAAAGUUUCAGAUCCCCUUGUGUUUUGCUCCAGACCCAGACAAUUCUUGUUCGGAUGGU